rnacentral:rRNA from 1 species
UACGUAGGGCGCAAGCGUUGUCCGGAAUUAUUGGGCGUAAAGCGCGCGCAGGCGGUCCUUUAAGUCUGAUGUGAAAGCCCACGGCUCAACCGUGGAGGGUCAUUGGAAACUGGGGGACUUGAGUGCAGAAGAGAAGAGUGGAAUUCCACGUGUAGCGGUGAAAUGCGUAGAGAUGUGGAGGAACACCAGUGGCGAAGGCGACUCUUUGGUCUGUAACUGACGCUGAGGCGCGAAAGCGUGGGGAGCAAACAGG